rnacentral:tRNA from 1 species
GGGGAUGUGGCUCAGUGGUAGAGCACUUGCCUAGCAUGCAUGAGGCCCUUAAUUCAAUCCCCAGUACUUCCA